rnacentral:rRNA from 1 species
AUACGGAGGAUGCGAGCGUUAUCCGGAAUCAUUGGGUUUAAAGGGUGCGUAGGCGGCCUUUCAAGCCCGGGGUGAAAAUCUGGGGCCCAACCCCAGACCUGCCUCGGGAACUGGCUGGCUGGAGUACGCUUGCCGCGGGAGGAAUGAGUGGUGUAGCGGUGAAAUGCAUAGAUAUCACUCAGAACACCGAUUGCGAAGGCAUCCCGCGAAGGCGCCACUGACGCUGAGGCACGAAAGCGUGGGGAUCGAACAGGAUUAGAUACCCUGGUAGUCCACGCAGUAAACGAUGAUAGCUAGCCGUUGGCCCGUUAAAGUGGUCAGUGGCCGAGCGAAAGCGAUAAGCUAUCCACCUGGGGAGUACGGCCGCAAGGCUGAAACUGAAAGGAAUUGACGGGG